AGGAUUAACGCUGGCGGCGUGCCUAACACAUGCAAGUCGAACGGUGAAGCCCUUCGGGGUGGAUCAGUGGCGAACGGGUGAGUAACACGUGGGCAAUCUGCCCUGCAUUCUGGGACAAGCCUUGGAAACGAGGUCUAAUACCGGAUACGACGCAUCUCCGCAUGGGGUGUGCGUGGAAAGCUCCGGCGAUGCAGGAUGAGCCCGCGGCCUAUCAGCUUGUUGGUGGGGUAAUGGCCUACCAAGGCGACGACGGGUA
rnacentral:rRNA from 1 species